rnacentral:tRNA from 1 species
CAGCAAGUAGUUUAUAAUAAAAAUAUUAGUUUUGGAGACUAAAGAUAUCUUUGUUUUUGCUGA